rnacentral:rRNA from 1 species
UUUGAUCCUGGCUCAGAUUGAACGCUGGCGGCAGGCCUAACACAUGCAAGUCGAGCGGCAGCGACAACAUUGAACCUUCGGGGGAUUUGUUGGGCGGCGAGCGGCGGACGGGUGAGUAAUGCUUGGGAAUAUGCCUUAUGGUGGGGGACAACAGUUGGAAACGACUGCUAAUACCGCAUGAUGUCUACGGACCAAAGUGGGGGACCUUCGGGCCUCACGCCAUAAGAUUAGCCCAAGUGGGAUUAGCUAGUUGGUGAGGUAAUGGCUCACCAAGGCGACGAUCCCUAGCUGGUUUGAGAGGAUGAUCAGCCACACUGGGACUGAGACACGGCCCAGACUCCUACGGGAGGCAGCAGUGGGGAAUAUUGCACAAUGGGCGCAAGCCUGAUGCAGCCAUGCCGCGUGUGUGAAGAAGGCCUUCGGGUUGUAAAGCACUUUCAGUAAGGAGGAAAGGUUAAGUGUUAAUAGC